rnacentral:rRNA from 1 species
UAUGAAGGGGGCUAGCGUUGCUCGGAAUGACUGGGCGUAAAGGGCGCGUAGGCGGAUGGCACAGUCAGAUGUGAAAUUCCCGGGCUUAACCUGGGGGCUGCAUUUGAUACGUGUUGUCUUGAGUUCGGAAGAGGGUCGUGGAAUUCCCAGUGUAGAGGUGAAAUUCGUAGAUAUUGGGAAGAACACCAGUGGCGAAGGCGGCUCACUGGACCGGUAUUGACGCUGAGGUGCGAAAGCGUGGGGAGCAAACAGG